UUCCAGAUGCCAUGAAAGGCUUACAGCUAGUAUAUGGGUAGGCAUCUUCUUCAUCAAAACCGUGAAAGAUAUCUGGUUUGGCAGCUUCUUCAUCAAAAGCACAGAUAAGCGAGGCAUCAACUAGCUUAUUCGGCAUUCACGGUCCAGCAUUAAGUUGUUUCUACUUCCAGUCUUUCGUUUCCUUCACUUUGCCGUUACAAUAUGAUUCUAGUUGAACCCCAUAGCACCGAAAUUUCAGUUGAAGCAGUUCAAAAAUGAUCUUAUCUAUCUCUCUCUAGUAGUAGUCUCUACCCAACAACACUGAAACCCACAAACCCAGUGGACAUGGGUUCUCUCAGAAAUGAAUUAGAGAGAGAGAGAUGACAAGGAGGAGGAAGAGCCCAUUUUAGUAUAGCAAACCCAGAGAUUCUGUAUGUUUCCCAUCAGGUACCAGCAACUUUGGGAGAUGUACAACAAGGCUAAGGCUAGUUUUUGGACUGUUAGGGUUUGCUUUGCUUGGAAUUGAGAGGGUAUCUCAACAAUGGUGGCGGCUUUCACUUGAGUUUAUUGGAAUUCAGAGGAAAUUUAGUGCAAUUCAUUGAUGCAUGUUUUCAUUUAUUUGUUUAUUUAAUCUUUUUCUGUAUAUUUCUAUUUAUUCGGUUUCAAAAUUUAGUUGGUUUUGCGGUUAUGUGACUUAUUACUUGCAAGAAAUGGUUACUCUCUGACUAUGAAAGCAGUUUCUUCCUUUUCUUUAAUGAGGCCCGUCCGCCCGUAACAUUACUUUAGAUAAUAGCAUCUGGUUUUGUCUCUCAGUAGAUCUUCUGAUUUGGGAAAUGAAUUCUUUAAUCUUUUCCUUUGUCUUAAAAUCGGUAUACGUUAUAUGUUUACAGAACAAUACAAGGGAAGGGAAUGAAUUCAACCAAAUGGAAUUUGAUGCUUUGGGCACAAACCCAUUUGGGGUUGCAAACUGAACUGCAAUAUAUAUGUGUGCUCUCACUGAGGAGGUUGAUCUCUCCCAGGAUGUACAGCAGUGGGAGGCUCUGACUGACUCCAAGAAACACUUUAUAAGUCAUGUCCUGGCAUUUUUGAGCCCAUGGUUGCUCGACCUGGUUCUCUACCUCCCUCUGCUCUGAAGGUUGGUGGCCCAGUCAAAACAAAGAUGCCUUCAGAACUGAGAAAUUUUGGUUGGGCUACCAACUGCAGAGAACAGAGAAAUGAUCAUGCGGACUCUGCUGGCGAAAGAGAAGGCAGAUGACUAGCUAGAUUUCAGGGAGCUUGCAACUAUGACUGAAGGAUAUAGUGGAAGUGAUCUUAAGAACUUGUUCACAACAUCUGGCUAUCAGCCUGUGAGGGAGUUAAUGCAGGCAGAGACACAAAAGGAUUUGGAUAAAAAGAAGAGAGCUGCAGAAGACAAAAUCAAGAAGAUGUUUCUGAAGAAUGAAAUCCAGAAGCUGUCUCGGAUACAAAAGAAGAACACAGAGAGGGAAGAGUGAUCACCCUCAGGGCCCUAAAUAUGUCUAUCAGCCAAACAUUGACAUUUUUGAAGCUUUUGAUGAGGAUGCCACUGUAGAUCCUUUAUCUGACCGACGAGAGAAUGAGUGAAGGCGACUGUGAGCAUUCUUUUGUCUUAAAGGAUGGUCUUGGAUAUGUGCUGCAUCUGUAGGGUUAUUGACAGAGGAAUUGACACGAUAUUUGAGUUUCAGUGUAACAAGGCAAUUUAAGUAUGGUCAUGGCUCUAGCUGGGAUAAAGCAGAUCUGGCAGAGUGAAGGAAAGUGGCAGCAGAGUUGAUUAAACUGAAAGGACAUAUACAAAAAGCUGGAUAAACUUCCAGGCUGAAGAUGGUAAAAGACUUUGGUAGACUUUCUGAUCUAAUCUGAUUGAAAUUUAGACUGUUUGUUAUAUGAGAAAAUGCAUAUUUUUCAUACGAAACCUGUUGCUCUUGCAGGAAGCACAAGCAAAUACACUAAAGUAAUUGGUACGUGAAGUAGAACGAGGAAGAUCCUUGUAAAAGUUUGAACCCUAUGUAGUAGAGAAAGAUAACUACCUUGUAAAACUCAAUUAUCUUGUAAACUUUCGUAGAAACUUCAUUCCUUUUAUAACAUUUAUGAGAAAAAUUAAAAUGUAUCAUUCCCUUU